GACGAAGGAUGCAAGCGUUAUCCGGAUUCAUUGGGUUUAAAGGGAGCGUAGGUGGUCUUAUAAGUCAGUGGUGAAAUCUUCUCGCUUAACGGGAAAACUGCCAUUGAUACUGUAGGACUUGAGUAUAGUUGCUGUGGGCGGAAUAUGGCAUGUAUUGGUGAAAUACUUAGAGAUGUCAUAGAACACCGAUUGCGAAGGCAGCUCACAAAACUAUAACCGACACUGAGGCUCGAAAGUGCGGGGAUCAAACAGG
rnacentral:rRNA from 1 species